UCUUCCUUCUUCUUCUCUUUCCUUCUUUUUUUGUUCAUCUUCUCUCUGUCUAUCUCGAAUCAGAGAAUUUAAUAUUGAAUCUCGUUCAAGUAAGCUUAAGAGUUUCAUAAUCCGAUGGUGUUGAAGUUGGUUUAACUUUAGACGAAGAAGAAACGAUGGAUCAAAGAGAAACAUAAGUUAGGGUUUCAGGAAGAUAAGGUUUAUUGAAGAAUUUCGUGGAAUUGAAUAUGAAAUCGACCAAUUAAGGAUGGGUAUUCACUGUUAUUAGCAAAGAAGAAGAUUUGUUAGUAAAAUUUAAGAUUCACAGUGUAGGGUUGAAAAAAUUAGGGUUUUUAUGAUGAACUCAGAGAAGAUUUAGAAGAUGUGUUGAAGUUCGAGUGGGAUGAAUUCAUGUAGGUAUUGGACGAUCGAGUGGAAUCGAUUUGAAUUUAAGAUGGAAUGAAGUUUCAAGUGAUGAAGUAAUAAUUCAGAGAAAAGUUGGGGUUUCCUAUUGAACCGUGGAUAAUUGAUGAGCCUGUGAUGACAUGUUGCUGAAUUGGAUCAAGGUGAAGAGAAGUUUGGUUUUAAUUGCUUGAGCAGGACUAAAUUGAGUGUAGGUAGCGGUUGGAAAUGGAAUGUGUUUGGAACUGGAGAUGAAUUGUUGUUGCAGAUGAAGUCGAGUUCCACAGUGGUGUUUCGUAGCUGUUAGUGAUGUUUAUGGAAUUGUGGUUUUGAAAUUAUGAAAUGAUUGUGAAUCUAAGAACUGAAUGAUUAUGAUGAUUGUGUUAUGGAGCUAUGGUAAGUAAUUUAGACACACGUUUUGAACUACAUGGGACAAGAAGUGGAUGUUAUUGUUGAGCUUUGUAUUGAUUGAAGUUCGUUUGAAUGGUUGUUUGUGGAGUUGAGAAGUAGUGGUGUUGUUUUGAAGUGAGCUUAUUCAAGAAGAACUGAACUGAGAUUUCUGUUAAGGAAGUAAUCUGGUGUUGGGGGAGAGUGGUGAACUGAGUAUGAAUUGUAGUAUGGGAUUGAGCAAAUGAAAAAUAGUUAGAAUGAGGAUUUAGAAUGGUAGAUAGUGUUUGUUGUGAAAGCUUGGAAAAGCUGCAAUUACAGGUAUUCUAUAUUUGAAUUUGGAGUGAGUCAUGAAGUUUUUAUGCUUUGAUUGUAUGAUUGUAAUGAUUAGAUAAAGUUGUACAAUUUGAUAGAACUGAAGUAAGAAUGAAGAAGUUGUUUAGAGUUUGGAUUAUA